GACGAACGCUGGCGGCGUGCCUAAUACAUGUAAGUAGAACGCUGAAGAGAGGAGCUUGCUCUUCUUGGAUGAGUUGCGAACGGGUGAGUAACGCGUAGGUAACCUGCCUUGUAGCGGGGGAUAACUAUUGGAAACGAUAGCUAAUACCGCAUAACAAUGGAUGACACAUGUCAUUUAUUUGAAAGGGGCAAUUGCUCCACUACAAGAUGGACCUGCGUUGUAUUAGCUAGUAGGUGAGGUAAUGGCUCACCUAGGCGACGAUACAUAGCCGACCUGAGAGGGUGAUCGGCCACACUGGGACUGAGACACGGCCCAGACUCCUACGGGAGGCAGCAGUAGGGAAUCCUCGGCAAUGGGGGCAACCCUGACCGAGCAACGCCGCGUGAGUGAAGAAGGUUUUCGGAUCGUAAAGCUCUGUUGUAAGUCAAGAACGGGUGUGAGAGUGGAAAGUUCACACUGUGACGGUAGCUGACCAGAAAGGGACGGCUAACUACGUG
rnacentral:rRNA from 1 species